rnacentral:rRNA from 1 species
GUGAACGCUGGCGGUAGGCCUAACACAUGCAAGUCGAACGGCAGCACAGGAGAGCUUGCUCUCUGGGUGGCGAGUGGCGGACGGGUGAGGAAUACAUCGGAAUCUACCUUUUCGUGGGGGAUAACGUAGGGAAACUUACGCUAAUACCGCAUACGACCUACGGGUGAAAGUGGGGGACCGCAAGGCCUCACGCGAUUAGAUGAGCCGAUGCCCGAUUAGCUAGUUGGCGGGGUAAUGGCCCACCAAGGCGACGAUCGGUAGCUGGUCUGAGAGGAUGAUCAGCCACACUGGAACUGAGACACGGUCCAGACUCCUACGGGAGGCAGCAGUGGGGAAUAUUGGACAAUGGGCGCAAGCCUGAUCCAGCCAUACCGCGUGGGUGAAGAAGGCCUUCGGGUUGUAAAGCCCUUUUGUUGGGAAAGAAAUCCUGUCGAUUAAUACUCGGUGGGGAUGACGGUACCCAAAGAAUAAGCACCGGCUAACUUCGUG